UAGGCGACCGGGUGAGUAACACGUGAUUAACCUACCUUCGAGUGGGGAAUAACUUCGGGAAACCGAAGCUAAUACCGCAUAACAUCCCAAGGACGAGAAGCCCAGGGAUCAAAGGAGCAAUUCGCUUGAAGAGGGGGUCGCGGCUGAUUAGCUAGUUGGCGGGGUAAUGGCCCACCAAGGCGAUGAUCAGUAGCCGGCCUGAGAGGGCGCACGGCCACACUGGAACUGAAACACGGUCCAG
rnacentral:rRNA from 1 species